rnacentral:rRNA from 1 species
UACGGGGGGAGCAAGCGUUGUUCGGAUUUACUGGGCGUAAAGGGCGCGUAGGCGGCGUGUCAAGUCACUUGUGAAAUCUCCGGGCUUAACUCGGAACGGUCAAGUGAUACUGUCGUGCUAGAGUACAGAAGGGGCAACUGGAAUUCUCGGUGUAGCGGUGAAAUGCGUAGAUAUCGAGAGGAACACCUGCGGCGAAGGCGGGUUGCUGGGCUGAUACUGACGCUGAGGCGCGAAAGCCAGGGGAGCGAACGGG